UGGCAGUCGUGUGGGCCUGCGCAAAUGAGCGUUGUCGGGCUCUUCGUGACCUUGAAAAUUGAAAUCCCCCGGCGUUAGUUCGUCUGUCCCGGGCUCAGACGCCCGAUGGCGGGAAGCGGCAGCGGCGAUUCGGACAAGAUGGCGGCGCUCGAUGGCGCCGACGGGUUUCAGUGGGACGAGGAAUCAAAGCUCUACCUCCACGCCAGUACUGGGUUUUAUUAUGAUCCCAAUGCUGGAUGGUACUACAGCAGUAGAGAUGGUCUCUACUAUGCAUUUAAGGAUGGAAAUUAUGUGCCAUUGAGUAAGGAUGAGGAACUUGAAGCUUAUCCACAUGCAAGAUCCGAAUGCAAUGAACUUGUUCAAAAAAACUCAUGUUGUCUAAGAGAAAAUUCUAGUAGUGAUGGAAAUGAUCCACAGUGCAUGCCAUCUGAAUGGUUAGAAGACACUUUGAUCAAUAUGUACUUAUCAGGUUAUUCCAACUUAGAGUUCAACUCCGAUGACCCAUCCAGAGAUUUACAAACAAACAGAGAAGAGAAAAGCGAGUCCAUUUCCAAGUGGUCGGUUGAUAAGAUAGAAGGUGAAAGUAUUCCUGAAAAUGUCCAAGAUGCAUUCUCUGGUGAAGGAAAUGCUACUCCAGAGGAAGAGAUGUGGCUAGCACAGUAUGGUCAAGUUGUGAGAACAAACGAUGAAGAUCUACCAUCUUUCCCUAUAGUUGAUCUAUGGGAUUGGGAAAUGGUUAGGGAACCUGUGAGUAAAAGGCAUGAAGUGGCUAGGCUAGUGGGAAGGUUGGUGAGGCGUUCUUCUAAGCUGCACCCUUCAUUGCCUGCUGGUGGUGGACUGUUAAGAACUAAUCCCAUUCGUGAAGUUCAUCUUGAUCUUGUGCGUGUUGCAUCAGGGAAAGUAUAUAGGUUGAAAAACCCUAGCAGAAAAUACUUGGCUUCUUUAUCAGUAUAUGACUCUUCCAACCCUACGAAAGAUUGGGGCUUUCCUGAUAUAUAUGCCAACCAGCAAAGUACUGUGCUGCAUACCUUAAAUCCAGAGUGUGGAUCUGACUUCUCUAAUGCAAUUUCUGAGGAUAACAUAUCUUCUGUCAUUAAUGAUAUUCCCUUGGAAGGCAUGAAGCAUCAGAAAUUUGCUUACAGAGAUAGAGCAGCCGAGAGGAGAUGUUUACAUGGUGGUAUUGGAAUAGGUCCGGGACACAAGGAUGUUAUGAACAAUGAUGAUUCUUCUGAGGAUGCAAAAGAAGCUGCAGCAGAAGCCAUGGAGUUAUCUUUCGGCUCUGGGAGUUACGGCAGAAGAGUCCUGGAAAGCAUGGGUUGGAAAGAAAUUCUCUCAUAUAGGGAGAGGCUCUCGGAGGAAGCACCAAGGGUAUUCUAGAACCAUUGCAAGCUGUUGGUAAUAAAGGCUACGCUGGUUUAGGAUGGAGUCAUACCCGUGGGAAAUCUUGAGACAUCACCACUACUUUAUGAAGAAGAUCGAGAUGACAAGUUUUGAUUUGAGGAACAUGGAUUCGGGGCAGAUUCGGGCCGUAGGCGGGAGGCAAGUUUUGAAAGGGAGCGGAUUAUGUUUUUAUUUUUAUUUUUUAUUUUUAUUCUUCAUGGGUUAGAGCCGGUAGCUGCAGUAGGAUUUCGUUUGGUGGGGUGAGAGGUGGGGCAGGGCUCCUGCCCCUAGAUCCGCCCCGCAUCUCUAACGACAACCCUAAAAACGAUGCUUCCCCUAAAGUGUAAUGAUUAUGUAGAAUGUGAGGCGCAGUGGCAAGCUUAGACCGAGUUUUAAUAGUGGACAAAUGAGAUUAGAUAUUAAAAAAAGUAUUGUUGAUAUCACUAAAUUUGAUGCAUAAAACCUUCAACUCUAGAUCUUUCGUAUUAUUAGAAAACAUAUCUGUAUUGCUUGUAGAGGCAUAGUAGUUCUUGGGUGGUUGUUAGUGAUGUUAAUACAUAUCUUGCUUUAGUAGA